ACAGAGGGUGCAAGCGUUAAUCGGAAUUACUGGGCGUAAAGCGCGCGUAGGUGGUUUGUUAAGUUGGAUGUGAAAUCCCCGGGCUCAACCUGGGAACUGCAUUCAAAACUGACUGACUAGAGUAUGGUAGAGGGUGGUGGAAUUUCCUGUGUAGCGGUGAAAUGCGUAGAUAUAGGAAGGAACACCAGUGGCGAAGGCGACCACCUGGACUGAUACUGACACUGAGGUGCGAAAGCGUGGGGAGCAAACAGG
rnacentral:rRNA from 2 species